AUUGAACGCUGGCGGCAUGCCUUACACAUGCAAGUCGAACGGUAACGGGUCCUUCGGGAUGCCGACGAGUGGCGAACGGGUGAGUAGUAUAUCGGAACGUGCCCAGUAGUGGGGGAUAACUGCUCGAAAGAGCAGCUAAGAACGCAUACGACCUGAGGGUGAAAGGGGGGGAGCGCACGACCUCUCGCUAUUGGAGCGGCCGAUAUCAGAUUAGCUAGUUGGUGGGGUAAAGGCCUACCAAGGCAACGAUCUGUAGUUGGUCUGGGAGGACGACCAGCCACACUGGGACUGAGACACGGCCCAGACUCCUACGGGAGGCAGCGGUGGGGAAUUGUGGACAAUGGGCGCAAGCCUGAUCCAGCAAUGCCGCGUGCAGGGAGAAGGCCUUCGGGUUGUAAACUGCUUUUGUCAGGGAAGAAAUCUUCUGGGCUAAUACCCCGGGAAGAUGACGGUACCUGAAGAAUAAGCACCGGCUAACUACGUGCCAGCCGCCGCAGUAA
rnacentral:rRNA from 1 species